AUACGGAGGGUCCAAGCGUUAUCCGGAAUCAUUGGGUUUAAAGGGUCCGCAGGCGGUCAAUUAAGUCAGAGGCUAAAGCCCAUCGCUCAACGAGGGAACUGCCUUUGAUACUGGUCGACUUGAGUUAUACGGAAGUAGAUAGAAUAAGUAGUGUAGCGGUGAAAUGCAUAGAUAUUACUUAGAAUACCGAUUGCGAAGGCAGUCUACUACGUAUAUACUGACGCUGAGGGACGAAAGCGUGGGGAGCGAACAGGAUUAGAAACCCUAGUAGUCC
rnacentral:rRNA from 1 species